rnacentral:rRNA from 1 species
CUGCUGCCUUCCGUAGGAGUUUGGACCGUAUCUCAGUUCCAAUGUGGCCGAUCACCCUCUCAGGUCGGCUACCCAUCGUCGACUUGGUGGGCCGUUACCUCACCAACUAUCUAAUGGGCCGCGAGCCCCUCCUAUGCCGCUAAAGCUUUUACCCCUCGAAGAUGCCUUCGCGUGGUCUUAUACCGUAUUAGCACUAAUUUCUCAGUGUUAUCCCGUUGCAUAGGGCAGGUUGCUCACGUGUUACUCACCCGUCCGCCA